rnacentral:lncRNA from 10 species
GAGAUUUGGGGCUCUUUGUUUCAGUAGACCAGCAAGUGCAGAAGGAAGUUACCAUACUAAAAAAGUUUACUUUAUCAGGACACAGAACUUAACUUGACAACCAGAGUCUUACAUUUAAAAAUACCUGAAUAAAACUCACUCACUAACUCAGAAGAAAUUUGAAAGACUAUGAAAAUCUUUGAAUACAAUGUAGAAGUUUUUAUUCCAAAACAGUGAAAAGGAGAGAGAGUAGAAGAGGAGAGAAGAGAGGAAGGAAGAAAAGGAGAGAAGAUGAGAAAAAAAAGCAAGUAGUGUCUUAAAUGGGAGAAAAAGUGAUAAGGAAAUAGUUUAAUUUAUUAAAGUCAAAGUUCAAUAAAAGUAAAUUAACUGCUUUAAUAUGUAAAGUAUUUUAACAAAUGAAUCACAAAAGGCUGUGAAGUUAAUUAUGGAUCCUCAAAAUGCAUAUUUGAAAAGAAUUGUCUACUUUGGAUUAGAAAUACAUAAUAUUUAUUAUUGUAGUACCAGAAUCCUCAUCUUUACUCAAGUAAUUCCCUAGGCUUUUUAUAUAAGCAAUAAAAAUUCUAAUACAUUGCUGUUUCUGAGAUUAAAAUAAAAUCCAGUAGUUUUGAAUCAAUCAGAAACAAAAUCAAAUACCUCUUAGAUUUAAUUGUGUGGGUAUUAUCUUAAAGAGAAGCAGGGUGACGCAUUGAAAAGACUAUAUUUUUUCAGCAUGCGAACCUUGGUUUAAAUGUGCUACUUGUUAUGUAAAAAUUGAAAGAAAAAAGAAAACAAUUUUCUUUGGUUAACAAAUGUGAAUUUCAUUUAUUUAUCUGAAAAAUUACAAUAAUAAAACAUACGUUUGUUACCUAUGUAUAUGUGAAUAUAUAUAUAAACACACAUAUAUACCUGUGUGUAUCAGACAGAAUUUAUGUGUUUCAUGUAUAGACAGAAGUUUGUACAUGUAAAAACAAAAAUUUUAUUCAAUAAUAUGUUAUUUAAAAUUAAAAUUGAUUGUGACUUGUAUUAAUCAGUGCCUUAAUAUUCACAGCUUAUUUUCAUUCAUCCAUCAUACCUAAUAAUCUUAAAAUUAUUAGAAUAUGUAUAUGAAAUUAAAAAAACUCAAUGUUAUCCAAAAUUUGCUACACACAUACAGGAAAAAAGUCAAGAAUCAAGAACAG